rnacentral:rRNA from 1 species
UACGGAGGGUGCGAGCGUUGUCCGGAAUCAUUGGGCGUAAAGAGCGUGUAGGCGGCUUGGUAAGUCGGAUGUGAAAUCCCGAGGCUCAACCUCGGGUCUGCAUCCGAUACUGCCCGGCUAGAGGUAGGUAGGGGAGAUCGGAAUUCCUGGUGUAGCGGUGAAAUGCGCAGAUAUCAGGAGGAACACCGGUGGCGAAGGCGGAUCUCUGGGCCUUACCUGACGCUCAGGCGCGAAAGCUAGGGGAGCAAACGGG